AGCAUUUAUACCGUGAAACUGCGAAUGGCUCAUUAAAUCAGUUAUCGUUUAUUUGAUAGUACCUUACUACUUGGAUAACCGUGGUAAUUCUAGAGCUAAUACAUGCUGAAAACCCCAACUUCGGGAGGGGUGUAUUUAUUAGAUAAAAAACCAACGCCCUUCGGGGCUUCUUGGUGAUUCAUGAUAACUUUACGGAUCGCAUGGCCUUGCGCCGGCGACGGUUCAUUCAAAUUUCUGCCCUAUCAACUUUCGAUGGUAAGGUAUUGGCUUACCAUGGUUUCAACGGGUAACGGGGAAUUAGGGUUCGAUUCCGGAGAGGGAGCCUGAGAAACGGCUACCACAUCCAAGGAAGGCAGCAGGCGCGCAAAUUACCCAAUCCCGACACGGGGAGGUAGUGACAAUAAAUACUGAUACAGGGCUCUUUUGGGUCUUGUAAUUGGAAUGAGUACAAUUUAAACCUCUUAACGAGGAACAAUUGGAGGGCAAGUCUGGUGCCAGCAGCCGCGGUAAUUCCAGCUCCAAUAGCGUAUAUUAAAGUUGUUGCAGUUAAAAAGCUCGUAGUUGAACCUUGGGUCUGGCUGGCAGGUCCGCCUCACCGCGUGUACUUGUCCGGCCGGGCCUUCCUUCUGGAGAACCUCAUGCCCUUCACUGGGCGUGUUGGGGACCAGGACUUUUACUUUGAAAAAAUUAGAGUGUUCAAAGCAGGCCUUUGCUCGAAUACGUUAGCAUGGAAUAAUAGAAUAGGACGUGCGGUCCUAUUUUGUUGGUUUCUAGGACCGCCGUAAUGAUUAAUAGGGACAGUCGGGGGCAUCAGUAUUCAAUUGUCAGAGGUGAAAUUCUUGGAUUUAUUGAAGACUAACUACUGCGAAAGCAUUUGCCAAGGAUGUUUUCAUUAAUCAGUGAACGAAAGUUAGGGGAUCGAAGACGAUCAGAUACCGUCGUAGUCUUAACCGUAAACUAUGCCGACUAGGGAUCGGGCGAUGUUCUUUUUCUGACUCGCUCGGCACCUUACGAGAAAUCAAAGUUUUUGGGUUCUGGGGGGAAUAUGGU
rnacentral:rRNA from 1 species